AUUGAACGCUGGCGGCAUGCCUAACACAUGCAAGUCGAGCGGAUGAAGGGAGCUUGCUCCUGGAUUCAGCGGCGGACGGGUGAGUAAUGCCUAGGAAUCUGCCGGGUAGUGGGGUAUAACGUCCGGAAACGGGCGCUAAUACCGCAUACGUCCUGAGGGAGAAAGUUGGUGAUCUUCGGACCUCACGCUAUCAGAUGAGCCUAGGUCGGAUUAGCUAGUUGGUGGGGUAAAGGCCUACCAAGGCGACGAUCCGUAACUGGUCUGAGAGGAUGAUCAGUCACACUGGAACUGAGACACGGUCCAGACUACUACGGGAGGCAGCAGUGGGGAAUAUUGGACAAUGGGCGAGAGCCUGAUCCAGCCAUGCCGAGUGUGUGAAGAAGGUGUUCGGAUUGGAAAGCACUUUAAGUUGGGAGGAAGGGCAGUAAGUUAAUACCUUGCUGUUUUGACGUUACCAACAGAAUAAGCACCGGCUAACUUCGUG
rnacentral:rRNA from 1 species